UACGUAGGGUGCAAGCGUUGUCCGGAAUUAUUGGGCGUAAAGGGCUCGUAGGCGGUCCAUCGCGUCGGGAGUGAAAAGCUGGGGCUUAACCCCAGUCCUGCUUUCGAUACGGGUGGACUAGAGGUAGGCAGGGGAGAACGGAAUUCCUGGUGUAGCGGUGAAAUGCGCAGAUAUCAGGAGGAACACCGGUGGCGAAGGCGGUUCUCUGGGACGGUACUGACGCUGAGACGCGAAAGCGUGGGGAGCGAACAGG
rnacentral:rRNA from 1 species